rnacentral:misc_RNA from 1 species
AACUGGUUCUAAAAUGUAAACAAACCCAUCACAGUUAAUCAAAAGACGCGGGGCUGGACUGUAUUGAAUAAAGUGAUUUAAACAUGUUUAAGAUCUGUAUACUGAUAUAUCUGUGUGUUCUAAAUGAAGCGUUUGCUGCCUCUAUACUUGCUGUUACGACGCCACAGAAAGCUCAAGAACUUAAAGAUGCAAUUGAGACGAGGAUUUACCGGCGGAUUAUCUUCAUAAAUACCUAAACAAUAAUCUACAGGAGAAGGCAACAGUCCAGGAUCUAGCUGAUGCUGUAGUGAACGGACUAACCACAGCUCUGCUGGGUAAAGGUAUAGCAGUGACCGGAGCAAUAAAGAUCCUGCAGCUGCUGGUCAGCUGGUUCUCCAUCUUGAUCCCCCUGGACGUGAUAACCUGGAUCCUGGGCAGGGAGCUACUCGUUCAGGAUGUAAUUAUCGUGGAGGCAGUUAUUCAGGACCUUUUUGAAGUUUACUCUUUAUGGACCAAAAAGUUUUUCUAACACCAUCCUUUCAAAGGACUUUUUUUCAUUAGUGAGGAUUUAUGAAUCAAUAAAUAACAACUUUGUUAGCUAUUCAAGAUCAGCUGUUAUUUGAUCAGUAUUUUAGUGAUCAGCUGUUCAGAGAUCAGUGUUUCAGUGCUUAGCUGUUCAGAGAUCAGCUGUUAAGUGAUCAAAGUCCAAAUUUUAUGUUUUUUAUGCUGCCAAAUCCGGAUUUUGCAGGACAUUGUCAGUGUAAUCUGCUUCAGUUAUUUAAUCAUCCAUAACUUUCUUGAUGAAUUUUCUCUUCUUAGAUCUUUGAAUAUCUACAGAAUAAUGAUAACAAAAGUAAUACAUAAGUCCUUAAAAUGCUUUAAUUAUAUAAUAACAUGUAAUGAAUGUAAUGUAUAUUGACUCUAUUUUUAAAUAUGUCUUAUAAUAUAUAUGUUUAACUAA